CAUGCAUGGUGGGCUGGCUGUGCGGCACCAGCGGCUCGCACGCAGCUGUGUGUAAGACAAGGAGAGGUUACGUACAACAGGCAGCUAAUGGCUCAUACCAGCAAGCCCUCAACUUCAGUCGGCACAUGCGGUUGAAUUUUAAAAAGAAGUCACCAAGGUUCCAGUCCUAACCAGCUGCCCAUAUUUAGGAUUCUACUUUUCAGGAAGAAUGGCAAAACACCAGACCCCCAGACGGAGUGAAUGACUCCUGCCAGAGUCGAGCAGAACUGCCUCUUACUUGCCAGGGACUAUGACACAAGGAAGCUGGAAUGAACAACUCCAAUAUUGUUCUAUUACCCCAAAGUGGUCGGCAUUGCCCCGCAUCCCAGGGUGAUGAAGGUCCUCCUUUCUCUAUCUGCACACUAUGAAGUUCAAGUACCAGCUGCACACCGAGAGAAAACAGGAAACAGACUUCUCUUUGGACACAGAAUUGAACAAAGAGCUCACCCCAGUCGAAGCCAGUUUAAACCAGUCUGUGCUGCUCUGAAACCUUCCCAACCUCCCUCCAGAGCUGGCACAGAGACGAGGAGAUCAUCACUGACUUCAAUCUUUGGCCUUCUAACCAGGAAAGGACUUGUGAAGGUGAAUGGUUUGCAGACGAAGGGGAUAUAAAAGAGACAAAACCAGGAUAAAAAUUAAAUAAAAAGUAGCUGUCUUAAACUGUAAUUGCAGUCCUCUGCUGAGCACGCUUGCAGAUAUAUAAAUGUGAUUUACCAUCAGCUUGCAACUACAAAUCAGGUCUUGAGAAACACUUGUGCUAUGAAAUUGUUUAAUCUCAUCAAGCUCUGCUUUCACAGCAAGCCAUAAAUCACAAAGUCUUUGUUAUCAUAGACCUCCACCAGCGCCUCUCUGGCAGGCUAUGGAUCGUGGGUAUAUAUAAUCUUGACUGCACAAACACUGGGGUCGACGCAGGCUGAAAUACUUUCAUAAUAGCCACUGUGCAGCUGGUGGAACACAAGCCUAUGAUGGAUAUCUCAUUUCCUACAGUCGGCAUCUAUUUCGAGCAAAUUAUUACCACAUAAAUUUCUUGUCAACAGAAACGGCCAAUUAAUUAAGUUAAAAAUUUACUUGUGAUCACAUCUACAAACCAAAUAGAACUGCAAGGCAAUUUUCCAGUUACUGAAUAUACUGCAGGUCAGUUUAAUGAAUAAUUUUUAACUUUGUCAUAAACUCAAAGACAGGCUAAUAUCUCCAGAAACCUGAAUGGAGACCAGCUGCCGACAGAUUUACACGAAAUAUAUUUAUGUGGAAUUUGAUUGCUGACAUCUGGGGACAGAAAUAAACUUUCUAUAAUUACAGAGGCAUCUUUGCCAUAUAUAUGAAUUUCUUUCACCAAAAAAUGCA